rnacentral:rRNA from 1 species
CUACGGGUCGCACCAGUGAGGAAUAUUGCACAAUGGGGGGAACCCUGAUGCAGCGACGCCGCGUGGAGGAUGACGCAUUUCGGUGUGUAAACUCCUUUUAUAUGUCAAGAAAAUGACGGUAGCAUAUGAAUAAGCACCGGCUAACUCCGUGCCAGCAGCCGCGGUAAUACGGAGGGUGCAAGCGUUACUCGGAAUCACUGGGCGUAAAGGACGCGUAGGCGGGUUGGAAAGUCAGGUGUGAAAUCCUACAGCUUAACUGUAGAACUGCACUUGAAACUUCUAAUCUAGAGUAUGGGAGGGGGAGAUGGAAUUAGUGGUGUAGGGGUAAAAUCCGUAGAUAUCACUAGGAAUAACUAAAGCGAAGGCGAUCUCCUGGAACAUUACUGACGCUAAGGCGUGAAAGCGUGGGGAGCAAACAGGAUUAGAUACCCGCGUAGUC